GUUCUCGGGCUGCCCAGAAUUGUAACAAGUGACAAGUGCAUUAGCCGUCUGCAUCCUCCACCGGAGGUCACCCUGCCCGUGAGCAGUAUCCCAACUCAUCUCUGAUAAUAAUUGUAUUAACAAAAUAUAAGUCACAAAAUAAUUUUAUUAAACCAGCUUGGGUGUUUCGAAGCUUCUCCUUUAUUCAUGGACUGGUAUGGUACCAAUGACUACAAUGCGACUAAUAAAGGUCAAUGCAUAUGUAUAUACACACGUGAGCACUCGCGCGCAAGGAAUAAAAGACCGCAAUUGUACGAUUACCACAACCAAAUUUUUUACAAUACAUCCCAGCGUGACAAUUACACGUAAAUCUAAUGACUUCCCCUGGAACAGUAUCGACACAAAUGCAGAUAUGCGAAUUCAAGGACUAUUUUCACAUUUUCAAUAUCCAGCCGAAUGUGGCGUACACAAAAGGUGUCCGUAGAAAAACAUGUGAUCCCACAAUUACUAUGAAUACGAGAUGUCAUGGAUAUUUCAGAAAAGACGUAACAAAUUGAUUUACGACGCUCCUUUGGAAGGUGCUGUCUCCCUUGUUAAUUCUGAAUAAAAAAAGUCUAGCAAACAUA